UAAACCCUGUUGUGUUGGUGAUGCUGUACAACCGGUUUUGGGCCAACACGAAUAAAAAUGGUUUCUUUUUUUUCAUAAUAAAGCGAUAGGUUUCGGCCAAGGCUGCGUUAUGGAACGAGAAACCAACCUGCGAUUGCAGGUUCAAAACUUAACAGCACACGGCACAUCGGGGUGUUU
rnacentral:other from 1 species